GCCGAGGUGGCGCAAUCUGGUACCGCGCAGGCCUUGAGAGCCUGUUUCCUUUGGAUAUAUGGGUUCGAAUCCCAUCCUCGGCG
rnacentral:tRNA from 1 species